rnacentral:lncRNA from 1 species
AACAAAUGAAACACUUCUUGUCUACGUGACCACUUUCACAAAGAUGUCUACAGAGUUUCUUCGAGUACAGUUAUUCAGUUUGACAUAUAACGUGGACAAACUAAGAUUCACAUGAUUCUUCUUCAGCACAACGCCUAGCCACGUAGACCUGUCGCCCCUUUAUUUGAUAUGCUCUUAGCUCCUGAAAGAUGAAAAAGAAUGAAACUUUAAUUGUGUAUAUAUACACAUCAAUAUUUUCGCCG